AGAAACUUAACAUUCAGCAGCUGCACAGGUAAGAGCCGAGCGGCUUCCUGUUGCUGGUAGUGACUCUUCAAUAGCGUCUGCGACAUCUUUGCUAGUAAACAGCAUUGAAUUGCUUCUGGAAACACCUUUUCAAAGGAUGACUCUGAAAGAAAAGCUUGGAAUGAAACACCUGGAGCCUGAUAGAGUGGAAAUAAUCAUCCAGCAAGUGUUCGAAGCACAGAUGGGACAUAGAAAAAAGAAGUUUGUGUGGAUACCCGGUUUGGAAUAGGCUACUUUUUUUUUUUAAUGGGCCCUCAACUGGUUGGACUGAUCUGUGGUCAGAAACAGCAUUGGCGCAUUGGGCAGAAGCGGUGGAGGAGCGAGAUGGGAGCAAUGGAUUUGUUGUCACACCGCCAUCACCUUUCAGCCCCUUGACACUGAGAGUAAGCUUUGUCUUGCCACUGCAUGCACUGACUGGACAUGGGUUGAUGUGUAUGUGCGUGCUGAUCCACUGACCAUCAGGUUUGAAGAGGGUGGAGGGGCUGGCUACAGUUCUGAGUGAUGAGUGUUGUUUUUGUUUUGAUUCAUUUCUCCCGUUGCUCCUGAUGGUCAGCCCGGACGCUCCUCAGUAUCUAUGAAUUCAUCUUCAAAGAAAGGAG